rnacentral:misc_RNA from 1 species
GUUUAAGUUAAGUUCUUUAGUCGUUCAGUCCGCGUGAAAUUAAUAAAACUAGUCCGCCACAGAUCAGCGUCGCUUCACUGUGUGGGACUUCUGUUUUUACACAAAAAUUUACUUUGCUUUCGUGUCGGUUUGCAAGUCUAGUCUGUGCUAGUUAAUUAUUUCUGUGAAUUUUUGGUACUCCUGCUGUAAUGGAACAAAAAGGCAAUACACAAAAUACUAAAUACCUUCAUCCUUUUUAUCAUGGAUUAAGGAAUGUUCCUGAAGGAAGGAUCAAGGAACUACAGAAGGUUAGAACUUGGGUUGCAGCACAACCUCAUUUACCCGAAGUAUCUGACGACUACAUUUACGUCUUUCUUAGCUCAUGUAAUUUCUCAGUGGACCGGGCCAAAAGCUGCAUAGAACAUUAUUUCACCAUCAAGACUAAUCAUCCUGCCAUAUUUGGAAAUAGAGAUCCUGAGGAUGACAAAGUGAAAUUGGUUAGGAGUUUGGGACACCUGUGGAGACUACCAAAACUAACACCAGAAGGAUAUAGAAUGGUUAUGUACGCUGUUAGAGAUGGAGAUCCAACCAAAAUGGUUUUCGGUGAUUGCGUCAAGACGUUUUGUAUGUUCAACGAUAUUGUUUUAUCAGAGGAUGGUAUCGAAGAUGGGUAUAUUGUAAUAUUCGAUAUGAAAGGAGUACAGUUAGGCCACUUAGCCCGAAUCAGCUUGCCAGCUUUAAGAUGCUUUUUCUUAUACAUCCAGGAAGCACAUCCAGUCAAAAUAAAAGGAGUACAUGUACUGAACACUGCUUCCUGGGUACAUCAUAUUAUGCGAAUUGUAAUACCUUUGGUCAAAUCAGAACUUCUGAGCUUAGUCAAAUUCCACAAAGGAAACAUCCCUGAAGGUCUUCCUUUGGAAAUAAUGCCAAAGGAAUAUGGCGGUGAAACAUCUUCCAUGGAAGAAUUAGACCAAGUUACGGAGCACUUAUGGGAAAAAUACCGACCGUGGCUCCUCGAAAACGAAACCUUAAAAACCAAUGAAAACAAAAGAAAUCAGAAGAAGUCCUCUUGGUGGGGAUUGCCUUUCUUCGGCAACAAAGAAGAACUCAACGAAAAGAAUAUUAUAAAAAAUUUGCGGUAUGAAUGAAACUCAUUUGAUUAAGUGUAGUUAGUGUAUUGUAAUUUUGUGGUGUUUUUUUACUUAUAUCUAAAGAAUUUUUCCUACUAAACCGAUUUUUCGUCAUCAUUCAGCUAUUUAAUUUUAAGUUGCCACAACCAUAUAACGUUUCUUUGUCGGGAAAAUAUUUAAAAAAUAUAGGAAUUUUUUUAACUGAAAAAACAGUCUAAUUUUUGUUAUAUUUAGAUUGGUUGCCAAACAUGCCAAAAAAUAAAGUAAAAAAGUAAUUUCAUGAUAGUUUUGAAUUAAGUACGUCUAAAUUAAAAUGUUGGAAUAUUCUUUGUUUUCCUUAAGGUACGUAUAGAUAUGCGCGCCGUGUAUGCGGUACGCGUUCGUGGCGGGUUCGUUAGAUCAGUACGCGUUAGGUGUUUUCAAGUGGCACACAAACAGUGCGCAUACGAUCCAAUUUCUGUCGGCGCCAAUAACGCACGGCGCACACACGGCGCGAAGUGCGCAGCGCGCAUAUCUAUACAUACUAUGUUCUGCCUAGUUAGAAGGUUAUCGAUUAUCAUUAGUAGUUGUUGUAUUCUGUUUACUGCUUCCUAAAAGUUUGUUGGAUGUGUAAUCAAAUCUUUUUAUCAUAUGUUAGUCAUGAAAUUCGUUUUCGUUGAUAUUUUAUUCAUAAAAAAAGUGUCAAAUAUAUAGAGAAAAAUAGAUUUUCUUCCAUUAGUGCAGUCACUGAAGGUGGAUAUGAGCUACUACCUCCGAUUUCGUUGAACCUCCAUCAAUUUUCAUGAAAAUUGGUGAGUGGUUCGAUGAUAUUUCAAGGAACAAAGGGGACAUGGUGCUAACUUGCCCUUUAACUCUGCGGUCACCCCUUUUUGGGGGUGAAAUUUAUUUUAUUAAAAAUAACCCCAGAAUUCGAUAGAGGGACAAAUGCUAUGCAACAUUUUUAUACAGUGCUAGUCAAAAGUCCGUACCCCCCCUCGUAUCUUUUAAACGGUUAUACCUAUAAUAGUGCAAUUUGGAGGGAGGAAAUAACCGGACGUAAGCUUCUUAACUAGUCAUGACAGUUGAAAUCAAGACUAAUAUAAAGACAUUCCUGUAAGGAGUACUAUAUAAAUUUUAAUUUUUGUGGAAAUAACGUAUGUUUGAUUUUUCACUUUUUCCUAAAAAAAUCCAAAGGGUCCUCUUAUUUUCAUCAUAAUUUGCUUAAUUUUGAUGCUAUUAUUUUCCUCUGGAGCUCAUUUGAUAGGUAUUCCUAAGUACUUGACAAGUGUUUAACAGGUAUAUUUUAUAAAAUGCAGCGUUUUCCCGUUAUUUAAGCUUGAAUACUUAGAUUUGAGUACUUGUCGAAAAAAAUAUACAUUCAAUUGCUCAUAACUCACUUUGAAUUGACAUGAGUGUAGUUCCAUAAGUGAGGAGUGUAUUUAUUUUUUUAUUAUCUUCAAUUUCGGUAAUAACUUUUUUUGUAAAAGCUUAUAGUUUUGAGUUAUAUGUGAAAAACCACUUUAAUAUAAUUUGCAUUUUUUUACGAAAAAAUAAAAUUUUUGAUAUAUAAUAAAUCAAAAGUAUUGAUUUAUAUUAAUAAAUUUAUAUAGCAAAUUUUGCUUAGAAUUUGUCGCUAUAUCAACUUAUGGUAUUAUUUUUAAUAAAAUAAUUUUCACCCCCGGAAAGGGGUGGCAUCCACCCCCAGGGUAAAAGCGCAAGUUGGUAUCAUGUCACCUUUGUUCCUUGAGGUAUCCUCUAAUUAUUCACUAAUUUUCAUGAAACUUGAUGGAGGUUCAAUGAAAUCGGAGGUGAAAACCUUCAGUGACUGCACUAUAUAUUUAUAUAGUGUACAUUUAUCACUUAGUUAGAUAAAUGAAUAGGAACUAUAAUUUUGACAAGAAUCUACAGGUCGAGCAAGUCUCGUAAAUUUCACGAUUGCGAGCCACGCUUCACGCAACCGUGUUUGCGUACUUGUGUUUCGAGUUGCGUGGUCGUGCGGAGUUAUAUUUACCAAAUUUAAAUAUAAUCGUUUUCAAAAUUAAAUCAAUAUGGCUACUGGGUGUAAAAGAUAAAUCUUAUUCUAUCUGUUCUUAAUGAGUUUUAGAUAAUUUUAGUUGUAUUUCUUUGUAAUUUUGUGUUGUACAAAGAUUAAUUUAACAUUUUCUCUGAAAGUAUUAAUUUAGAAAGAUAAUAUGCUUCAUUGGUGUUGUGUUUUGAAGUGUGAAAUGCAAAGUAAUUGUGAUAGUUAAAUGCAAGAUAAAGUUCACUUUUAAACUGAACUAAAUAAGGUAUCUGAGAGACAACAAUGGUUAAAUGCAAUACAAUGUACAGGUUUUACUAGCGAAAUGAAAAUUUUCCUGUCCUGUCUGCUGUAAUCAUUUUAUAUCUGGAAAACCAGCCGACUUAAUCGAUAAUAACAAUCUCCAGAUUGGGUUCCUUCAAUAAAUAUGGUCUAUAAACACAAUGAAAUAAGUUCCCCAAACUCUAAAAUGGAGUGGUAUCAAAGGAGAAUUAAAGGGAAAAAUAUUCAUAUUGAAAUUAUUUAUAAGGCACUGGACUGUCUUAAAUUCUACAAUAAUACUAGAAUCAGCUGAGAGAAGUGGUCUACAAAAAACCAUGAAGGAAACGGAAUAUGUGGCUACGAAAGGCAAAAGAAAGGUUUACAAAGCAAAUGUGACACAUCUUUUUGAAAUAUUUAGGAAUAUCAGUAAAUUGCAUUGAAAAAAUGUAUGAAAAGAUUUUGUUCAAUAAAAAUGUUUAUAUUUA